UACGUAGGCAGCGAGCGUUGUUCGGAGUUACUGGGCGUAAAGGGUGUGUAGGCGGUUCUCUAAGUUUGGUGUGAAAUCUCCCGGCUCAACCGGGAGGGUGCGCCGAAAACUGGGAGACUAGAGUGCGGGAUGGGAGAGUAGAAUUCCUGGUGUAGCGGUGAAAUGCGUAGAUAUCAGGAGGAAUACCGGUGGUGUAGACGGCUCUCUGGACCGCCACUGACGCUGAGACACGAAAGCGUGGGUAGCAAACAGG
rnacentral:rRNA from 1 species